rnacentral:rRNA from 1 species
UAGUGUAUGGGGAUCUGCCCGAUAGAGGGGGAUAACUACUGGAAACGGUGGCUAAUACCGCAUAAUGUCUACGGACCAAAGCAGGGGCUCUUCGGACCUUGCACUAUCGGAUGAACCCAUAUGGGAUUAGCUAGUAGGUGGGGUAAAGGCUCACCUAGGCGACGAUCUCUAGCUGGUCUGAGAGGAUGAUCAGCCACACUGGGACUGAGACACGGCCCAG